AUUGAACGCUGGCGGCAGGCCUAACACAUGCAAGUCGAACGGUAACAGGAAGAAGCUUGCUUCUUUGCUGACGAGUGGCGGACGGGUGAGUAAUGUCUGGGAAACUGCCUGAUGGAGGGGGAUAACUACUGGAAACGGUAGCUAAUACCGCAUAACGUCGCAAGACCAAAGAGGGGGACCUUCGGGCCUCUUGCCAUCGGAUGUGCCCAGAUGGGAUUAGCUAGUAGGUGGGGUAACGGCUCACCUAGGCGACGAUCCCUAGCUGGUCUGAGAGGAUGACCAGCCACACUGGGACUGAGACACGGUCCAGACUCCUACGGGAGGCAGCAGUGGUGAAUAUUGCACAAUGGGCGCAAGCCUGAUGCAGCCAUGCCGCGUGUAUGAAGAAGGCCUUCGGGUUGUAAAGUACUUUCAGCGGGGAGGAAGGGAGUAAAGUUAAUACCUUUGCUCAUUGACGUUACCCGCAGAAGAAGCACCGGCUAACUCCGUG
rnacentral:rRNA from 1 species